CUGCUCACUUGGGCAGCAGAUAUACUAAAACUGCAACGAUACAGAGAUCAUUAGCAUGACCCCUGUGAAAUGAGAUGGCAUGCACAUUCAUGAAGCAUUUCAAAUUUUU
rnacentral:snRNA from 1 species